UUUGGAUGUGGGAUUAUGGGGCAUCUGAUUAGGGUAGAGGAGGAGGGGAAUAUAACAUCAAAGUUAACUUUUGGGCCAUAGAUGAGAACAAACUCAUUUCACCGCAACCUCUUUAUCCCUAAGCCUCCUUCCAAUUCCCAUGCCAUCACAAACCAUCCCUCAAGCCAAACACAAUAGCUCUAAAAUUAGCCACUAACAACCUUAUCUGCAACUAACCACUUAUCUCUCUAGGGAAUCAUCUAUCCUCCAACUCCAAUACAUCACCUAAUAUAACCAUGAACAUCUCUCUUCCACAAAAAACAACGGAUAAAACAAAUCUUAGGUAUACUUUACUACCUAUUGCAGCCGCCGACUCUCCUUCUAACACUCCACAGUUGCCAACGAUCUCAAUUUUUCAAACUCAAAUCCAAACCCAUAGCAUUACUGAGCCACAAUCGAGUUCUAAUCGAGUUGCAAAUCGUACCUUUUUUUAUCAUGAACAGAGCCUUGGUGUGAAUGCAAAAUGAAACUUCCUUUUUAGUGAUUCAUUGGGUAGUGAACCAAUCUUAAACCCCUCAAACAAUGAUAGUAGCAGCACCCAAACUUCCCGGAUCUUUUUGGUUAAUAUCUUGCUAGUAUUGGUAUAAAAGGAGUUAACACCCCCAGAUUUUUUAAAGAUUAUCCUUAUCUGCUCUCAUACUUUCAACAUGGCACAGUUGCCUCUAGCCACCCUAACCAGACAAAAGGUCAGACCUCCUCCAUCCCCGUAGAAGGAAAUCCUACCAACCCUUCUUUUAUCUUUUUUGGAAGUAGAUGUUACUGAACUAAACCUUUUCUCCAAGGUCUAGUAGCAUACUACAUCACAAGGCCUAUUUCUUUCUACCCAAGACCAAACAACAACCAAGCCCAUAAACAGCACUAAACCUAAUCACCAACCUAGCACAUCUUAGGACUUGCAAAAAUAAGCUCUCUCAGAAAAUCAUGGCCUUUUAACCGUCCCUCGUGUCAACCUGGACCCUCAUGAGCUAAUAUACCACAGGAUGAGCUAGUUAAAAUAGCUAUUGAUCUCUUUAAGCCCAAUUUAUCUCAGAGACAGAAAAAAGGCUUUGUAGAGCAGAAGUUUCGAACUGCAAAAAAUUAAGACAAGGAAGUUGAUAAUAAUCUACCCAAAUAGAAGUGUUGUUGGAAGAGGUUAGCUAGAGUAGGGAAUGCGACUAACUAGGGUGUGAUUAUUCGAGAAAUUUCAAAUAAGUCACAACAAUCUUAGGAGAAUGAAGUAACACCUUCUCAACAAUUGAGCAAUGAGAUAAGGUAUCGAGUGGAUGAAAAUUCUGAGCAAGAAAACUAGAAGACCUGCACUUCUCACUCUCAAUCUGACAUGGUGGAGAUAGCCAACCAGAAAUGGCCCCAAAUGGAUAAAUGAAACUUCUAAGUUGGAAUUGUCAGGGCGUGGGGAACCCCCUGACUUUCCACCACUUAAAAGGGUUAUGCUCCACCCAUUCACUGGAUAUUAUCUUCUUGAUGGAGACCAAAAAUAAAGGUAAUUUUGUGAAGAAGUAGAUGAACAAAUGUGGUUUCUUUGACGUAUCUAUUAGAGAUCCCAGGGGCUCAGCUGGGGGAUUAUGUCUUGCAUGGAAGGGGGGUUGUGAUAUCUCUAUGAUUCAUGUUAAAGACUUUUUUAUUCAUGCUUGUAUUGUUGGCCCUUUGAUUAAUGAAAAAUGGAAUGCUCUUUUUGUUUUACGCUAGA
rnacentral:misc_RNA from 1 species